rnacentral:sRNA from 1 species
UGGUAGAUGCACCUUGAUCUUCAAUUCCCCUAGUUUGGCUAAAACUCACUGGGGGUUUUCUUU